rnacentral:lncRNA from 13 species
CUGGGUGGUGGUGCUGUCCCUCUGCAUUCCCGCAUGGACAUGAAACCUGGAGCAAUUAGCAUUUCCUCCUACUGUAGCUUUUAAAGUAUUUUUGCUUUGCUACUGUCUAGUUCAUUAAAAAGGGUUUUCAAGCUCCCAGUAACAGAAUUACUAUUGACAAUUUCAUUAGAACCAUAAUUCCAGCAGUUUCCACAAGAUCCAGUGUGGUCCAUGGUCACAGCCUGUCCAUCUCCUGUAUAUUUACAGCUCCUCGGAUUCAUCCCCCUCAAAUUCUGAAGGGCCAAACCCACCAGUUUUUGUGAACUGUCUUUUAGCCCUGAGUUCCACCAGCCUCAAAAGUUCUUGGAGAAUUACGGAGCUGUUAGCUGCCGUCUGACUGUUCCCAUGGCUGAAAGAUGCUUCAUGUACAGAUUUUUCUCCAGUUGGAGUGAGCUGGUCUUGACCCGAAAGUCCUUUGUCUGCCGCCAGUGGAUACAUGGAGAACACAGAGGCUCUUCUCUGAAAGAAAAUCUUGGAGCUCCACAGAGGUGCUGCAGCUGGUCUAGAUGCCAACAAUGAGGCAGCUGUUGAGAACAGAGGAAGGAAUAGAUGAUGGCACCAAAUCCUGCCCUGGAGCUGAGCAGGGCUCGAAGAGCAGCCCCGUGUGGAGAAGCAGAUGGAGCUCUGCAAAGUAUCAGCAUGCUGGAUUUUAUGGAGCAUUUCUAAAGCUGAGGGAAAACUGUCUGGGAAUUUCUAGGUCAGGUAACCUUGCUCUCUCUUGUGGAAAGCCUGAGGAGCUCCAGGAGGGAUUUAAGGAAGAGAUCUUCCUCUCCUGUUCAGGUGAAUAGUCAUGAAUUAGACUCUUGGGAGACUAAAGCAGUAUAAAUACAUAAGGAAAUCUUU